AUUGAACGCUGGCGGCAUGCCUUACACAUGCAAGUCGAACGGCAGCACGGGAGCAAUCCUGGUGGCGAGUGGCGAACGGGUGAGUAAAGUAUCGGAACGUGCCCAGUCGUGGGGGAUAACGUAGCGAAAGUUACGCUAAUACCGCAUACGAUCUAUGGAUGAAAGCGGGGGAUCGCAAGACCUCGCGCGAUUGGAGCGGCCGAUAUCAGAUUAGGUAGUUGGUGGGGUAAAGGCUCACCAAGCCGACGAUCUGUAGCUGGUCCGAGAGGACGACCAGCCACACUGGGACUGAGACACGGCCCAGACUCCUACGGGAGGCAGCAGUGGGGAAUUUUGGACAAUGGGCGAAAGCCUGGUCCAGCCAUGCCGCGUGCAGGAUGAAGGCCUUCGGGUUGUAAACUGCUUUUGUACGGAACGAAAAGGUUUGGCCUAAUAAGCUGAGCUCAUGACGGUACCGUAAGAAUAAGCACCGGCUAACUACGUGCCAGCCGCCGCGGUAA
rnacentral:rRNA from 1 species